rnacentral:rRNA from 1 species
UACGGGAGUGGCAAGCGUUAUCCGGAAUUAUUGGGCGUAAAGCGUCCGCAGGCGGUCUUGUAAGUCUGUUGUUAAAGCGUGGAGCUUAACUCCAUUUCAGCAAUGGAAACUGUAAGACUAGAGUGUGGUAGGGGCAGAGGGAAUUCCCGGUGUAGCGGUGAAAUGCGUAGAUAUCGGGAAGAACACCAGUGGCGAAGGCGCUCUGCUGGGCCAUAACUGACGCUCAUGGACGAAAGCCAGGGGAGCGAAAGGGAUUAGAUACCCCUGUAGUCCUGGCCGUAAACGAUGAACACUAGGUGUCGGGGGAAUCGACCCCCUCGGUGUCGUAGCCAACGCGUUAAGUGUUCCGCCUGGGGAGUACGCACGCAAGUGUGAAACUCAAAGGAAUUGACGGGGGCCCGCACAAGCGGUGGAGUAUGUGGUUUAAUUCGAUGCAACGCGAAGAACCUUACCAGGGUUUGACAUCCUGCGAAUCUUUUGGAAACAGAAGAGUGCCUUCGGGAACGCAGUGACAGGUGGUGCAUGGCUGUCGUCAGCUCGUGUCGUGAGAUGUUGGGUUAAGUCCCGCAACGAGCGCAACCCACGUCGUUAGUUGCCAGCAUUUAGUUGGGCACUCUAGCGAGACCGCCGGUGAUAAACCGGAGGAAGGUGUGGAUGACGUCAAGUCAUCAUGCCCCUUACAUCCUGGGCUACACACGUACUACAAUGCUACGGACAAAGGGCAGCAAACUCGCGAGAGCUAGCAAAUCCCAUAAACCGUGGCUCAGUUCAGAUCGUAGGCUGCAACUCGCCUACGUGAAGGAGGAAUCGCUAGUAAUCGCAGGUCAGCAUACUGCGGUGAAUACGUUCCCGGGCCU